rnacentral:rRNA from 1 species
GCAUAUCAAUAAGCGGAGGAAAAGAAACCAACAGGGAUUGCCUCAGUAACGGCGAGUGAAGCGGCAAGAGCUCAAAUUUGAAAGCUGGCCCCUUCGGGGUCCGCAUUGUAAUUUGCAGAGGAUGCUUCGGGAGCGGCCCCCAUCUAAGUGCCCUGGAACGGGCCGUCAUAGAGGGUGAGAAUCCCGUCUGGGAUGGGGUGCCCGCGCCCGUGUGAAGCUCCUUCGACGAGUCGAGUUGUUUGGGAAUGCAGCUCUAAAUGGGUGGUAAAUUUCAUCUAAAGCUAAAUACUGGCCGGAGACCGAUAGCGCACAAGUAGAGUGAUCGAAAGAUGAAAAGCACUUUGAAAAGAGAGUUAAACAGCACGUGAAAUUGUUGAAAGGGAAGCGCUUGCGACCAGACUCGCUCGCGGGGUUCAGCCGGCCUUCGGGCCGGUGUACUUCCCCGCGGGCGGGCCAGCGUCGGUUUGGGCGGCCGGUCAAAGGCCCUCGGAAUGUAACGCCCCCCGGGGCGUCUUAUAGCCGAGGGUGCCAUGCGGCCAGCCCGGACCGAGGAACGCGCUUCGGCUCGGACGCUGGCAUAAUGGUCGUAAGCGACCCGUCUUGAAACACGGACCAAGGAGUCUAACAUCUACGCGAGUGUUCGGGUGUCAAACCCGUGCGCGCAGUGAAAGCGAACGGAGGUGGGAACCCCUCGGGGUGCACCAUCGACCGAUCCUGAUGUCUUCGGAUGGAUUUGAGUAAGAGCGUAGCUGUUGGGACCCGAAAGAUGGUGAACUAUGCCUGAAUAGGGCGAAGCCAGAGGAAACUCUGGUGGAGGCUCGCAGCGGUUCUGACGUGCAAAUCGAUCGUCAAAUUUGGGUAUAGGGGCGAAAGACUAAUCGAACCAUCUAGUAGCUGGUUCCUGCCGA